UCAACCGUAAGUCUACAAGUUCUCAUU
rnacentral:piRNA from 1 species